rnacentral:rRNA from 1 species
GAUGAACGCUGGCGGCGUGCCUAAUGCAUGCAAGUCGAGCGAACGGAUGAGAAGCUUGCUUCUCUGAUGUUAGCGGCGGACGGGUGAGUAACACGUGGAUAACCUACCUAUAAGACUGGGAUAACUUCGGGAAACCGGAGCUAAUACCGGAUAAUAUUUUGAACCGCAUGGUUCAAAAGUGAAAGACGGUCUUGCUGUCACUUAUAGAUGGAUCCGCGCUGCAUUAGCUAGUUGGUAAGGUAACGGCUUACCAAGGCAACGAUGCAUAGCCGACCUGAGAGGGUGAUCGGCCACACUGGAACUGAGACACGGUCCAGACUCCUACGGGAGGCAGCAGUAGGGAAUCUUCCGCAAUGGGCGAAAGCCUGACGGAGCAACGCCGCGUGAGUGAUGAAGGUCUUCGGAUCGUAAAACUCUGUUAUUAGGGAAGAACAUAUGUGUAAGUAACUGUGCACAUCUUGACGGUACCUAAUCAGAAAGCCACGGCUAACUACGUG